GCAUGCCCUGAUACAGCGGCAACGGUAAGGCGCAACUGCCGAUUGCGCGGCUCUCGUCUUCCAGCACGAAUUGUUCGAUGCCACGGGCGCGCU
rnacentral:tRNA from 1 species